GGUAGACCCAGUGUCUCAGAUCGCUCCUGCCCCACCGAACUCGUUUCUGCAAACCUCGACACUGUCUUGUUCAAUCCCUAAUGUUCGUCACCAGGUGAGUGGGCGGGGCCUCGGACAGGUAGACCCAGUGUCUCAGAUCGCUCCUGCCCCACCGAACUCGUUUCUGCAAACCUUGACACUGUCUUGUUCAAUCCCUAAUGUUCGUCACACUUCUCACGCUUUGAACUUCUUCAAUGAUUUAAAGUUCCCUCGCCCCCACCGCCUUAUUUUCUCCAUGGACGUCCAGACCCUCUAUACCUCCACCCCCGACCAGGAAGGUCUCAAAGCUCCGCUUCUUUUUGGAUUCCAGACCUAAACAAUUCCCCUCUACAACCACUCUCCUCCAUCUAGCGAAUUAGUUCUUACUCUCAAUCAUUACUCCUUUGUCUCCUCCCACUUCCUCCAAACCAAGGGUGCAGCCAUGGGCACCCGCAUGGGUCCCGGUUAUGCCUGCCAUUUUGUUGGUUAUGUGGAACAGUCCAUGUUCCAAGUCUAUACGUGUAUCCAUCCCCCUCUUUUCCUUCGCUACAUCGGCGACUGCAUUGUGUCUGCCUCCUGCACGCUUGCUGAGCUCGUCGACUUCAUUAACUUUGCCUCCAACUUUCACCCUGCCCUUAAAAUUACCUGGUUCAUUUCCGACACCUCCCUGCCCUUUCUUGAUCUGUCUGUUUCCAUCUCUGGAGACGGCCUAUCUACUGAUAUCGACUAUCAGCCUACAGACUCUCACAGCUACCUGGACUAUUAUUCUUUCCACCCUGUCUCUUGCAACAAUGCUAUCCCCUUCUCGCAAUUCCUCCGUCUCUGCCGCAUCUGCUCUCAGGAUGAGGCUUUUCAUUCCAGGACGAAGGAGAUGUCGUCCUUUUAUAAGCAAAGGGGCUCUGACGGUGGUGUUGGAAAAGAGGAUGCUGUCCAAGUUGCAUGCCAUCUUGGACAAUGACUCCCAUCCACUCCAUAGUGUACUGGUUAGGCACAGGAGUACAUUCAGCCAGAGACUCACUCCACCGAGAUGUAACACUGAGCGUCAUAGGAAGUCAUUCCUGCCCGUGGCCAUCAAACUUUACAACUCCUCCCUCGGAGUGUCAGACCCCUGAGCCAAUAGGCGGGCCCUGGACUUAUUUCCACUUGGCAUGAUUAACUUAUUAUUAUUUAAUUAUUUAUGGUUUUAUAUUGCAAUAUUUCUUCACUAUUCUUGGUGGUGCUUCUGUAACGAAACCCAGUUUCCCUCGGGGUCAAUAAAGUAUGUCUGUCUGUCUGUCAUCACCUCUGCUCUGAAACGCAUCUCUCCCAUUUCCCGCACAUCUGCCCACCACCCGACUCGGGAUAGGGUUCCCCUUGUCCUCACCUACCACCCCACCAGACUCCGGGUCCAACGUAUAAUUCUCCGUAACUUCCGCCACCUCCGACGGGAUCCCACUACGAAGCACAACUUUCCCUCCACAUUCCCUUUCUGCUUUCCGCAGGGAUCGCUCCCUAUGCGACUCCCUUGUCCCCCCCAUCCCUCCCCACCGAUCUCCCUCCUGGCACUUAUCCUUGUAAGCAGAACAAGUGCUACACCUGCCCUUACACUUCCUUCCUCACCACCAUUCAGGGCCCCAGAAAGCCCUUCCAGGUGAGGCGACACUUCACCUGUGAGUCGGCUGGUGUGGUAUACUGCGUCUGGUGUUCCCGGUGUGGCCUUUGGUGAGACCCGACGCAGACUGGGAGACCGUUUCGCUGAACACCUGCGCUCGAUCUGCCAAGGAAAGCAGGAUCUCCCAGAGGCCACACAUUUUAAUUCCACGUCCCAUUCCCAUUCUGAUAUGUCUACCCAUGGCCUCCUCUACUGUCAAGAUGAAGCCACACUCAGGUUGCAGGAACAAUAACAUAUACCGGCUGGGUAGCCUCCAACCUGAUGGCAUGAACAUUGAAUUCUCUAACUUCAGUUAAUGACCCUCCUCCCCUUCUUACCCCAUCCCUGAUAUAUUUAGUUUUUUUCCACCCUCCUCCUUUUUUUCUCUCUUUCUGCCCGUCACUCUGCCUGUUCUCCAUCUCCCUCUGGUGCCCCCUCCCUCUUUCUUUCUCCCGAGGCCUCCCGUCCCAUGAUCCUUUCCCUUCUCCAGCUCUGUAUCCCUUUUGCCAAUCACCUUUUCAGCUCUCAGCUUCAUCCCACCCCCUCCGGUCUUCUCCUAUCAUUUCGCAUUUUCCCCUCCCCAAUCUACUUUCAAAUCUCUUACUAUAUUUCCUUUCAGUCAGACCUGACGAAGGGUCUCGGCCCGAAACGUCGACAGAGCUUCUCCCUGUAGAUGCUGCCUGGCCUGCUGCAUCCCACCAGUGUUGUGUGUGUGUUUUGUCUGGAGAAGGGAAGGUCUGAUUGGGGAAAGAGGUAAAAAGCUGGAGAACAACACACACAAAAUGCUGGUGGACGUCCUGACGAAGGGUCUCGGCCCGAAACGUCGACAGAGCUUCUCCCUGUAGAUGCUGCCUGGCCUGCUGUGUUCCGCCGGCAUUUUGUGUGUGCUGCAGACGCUGCGGAUCCGCGGUAAAACGGGAUCACGUGACGGGUGGAGGGUCUCCCACGUGACCCGGUGACUCCACUCCUCGCCCCUCACACGCUGCCCGACCUCCCCACCGCAUCUCCCACAUUAUCCCAUAUUUACACCGGGUACAUGUUUAACAUUUCCCCUCCGUAUAUUCCCGUCCCAUCCCUCCACCUCCCUGGGUCACUGUUACGGGUUCGAAUCCCAUGCCGGUCCGACGAACAUUUUAGAUCCAAAACAGGAUUGUGCAGGUUUCAUGUAAAUCAGUCUAUGUUUAUAAACACUAAUUCCUACUCACAUUCCUCCUGCCUCACUGGACAGGAACACUGAAACAUCAAGUGAGAAACAGCAGGAGGUGGCCAUUCAGCCCCUCUAACUAUCAACAAGAUGGCAGCUGCUCUCCCCUCUCAGCCACGUGUUUCUGCCCGAUCCUCAUUUCCUCGAUCGCUUCGGUCUCCACCCAUCUGCCGGCCUCUGUUUUACGUGUGGACGAUCGCUGAGUCUUCACCGCCCUCUGUGGUGGGGAUUUACAGACAUUCAACACCCUCGGAGUGGAGGCAUUUCCCCUCAUCUCAGUCCCGGACAAUCCACUCCUUUUUCCGGAGUCUGGGAUCCCUGGUUCAGCCGGUAAUGAUUUUGUGAAUUUCAAUGUGGUCACCUCUCAGUCCCCGAUUCUCUAAAUGAAAGGGUUAUCACAUUUGAUCUUUCUUCAUCUGAUGACCCCACCACCCCAGGGAUCAGUCUGGUGAAUCUUCAUCGCACUCUCUACAACAAAUACUCUCUAACCUCUUUGUUAAUCUUCUGCAGCCCCGUGUUGCCCAACCACUCCCCUCCCACCCCUGUCACUAUUUGCCCCUUCCCACCUCCCCCCUCACCUGGAUCCACCUCUCACUCCCCAGCUCUUGCCCCAUCCCCACCCCUCACCUCUUUUCUCUGACUAUUUCCCGUCCACUCUCAGUCCAGACGGAGGGACUCGGCCCGAAAUAUUGACGGUCCAUUUCCCUCCACAGAUGCUGCCCGACCCGUUGAGUUCCUCCGGCAGUUUGUUCUUUGGUCUGUGUAACCCGUGUUAGUGUGGGGAGCGGGAUAUUACACCGUAUUCCAGUUAGACCUGCAGUGAGAGAUUUAUUGGAAGAAAAACCACGACUGAAGACGAGGGAACAGCAACAAGUGAACCAGCCCGAGGACUGAGAACACCGACUGGAGAGAACCCAUCUGACUCGGGUUUCCAUUGAUUCAGUCAGGAGAAAGUUUGAUCUGUCACAAUGCUGAAAGCAAAAACGUAGGUCACUCCUUUAUAUUUGUAUGAAUCAAUCGGAUGAUGGCAAAGCUGCCAAAACACCUGGUCGAUAUCCACGCACUCGGAUGACCGACCGUGGCUCGGGUCGCAGAAAGCAGAUCUGAUCAGGAGAGUCGUUGUAGGAGAAGAGACGACCGACCGUGGCUCGGGUCGCAGAAAGCAGAUCUGAUCAGGAGAGUCGUUGUAGGAGAAGAGAUGACCGACCGUGGCUCGGGUCGCAGAAAGCAGAUCUGAUCAGGAGAGUCGUUGUAGGAGAAGAGAUGACCGACCGUGGCUCGGGUCGCAGAAAGCAGAUCUGAUCAGGAGAGUCGUUGUAGGAGAAGAGAUGACCGACCGUGGCUCGGGUCGCAGAAAGCAGAUCUGAUCAGGAGAGUCGUUGUAGCAGAAGAGAUGACCGACCGUGGCUCGGGUCGCAGAAAGCAGAUCUGAUCAGGAGAGUCGUUGUAGGAGAAGAGAUGACCGACCGUGGCUCGGGUCGCAGAAAGCAGAUCUGAUCAGGAGAGUCGUUGUAGGAGAAGAGAUGACCGACCGUGGCUCGGGUCGCAGAAAGCAGAUCUGAUCAGGAGAGUCGUUGUAGGAGAAGAGAUGACCGACCGUGGCUCGGGUCGCAGAAAGCAGAUCUGAUCAGGAGAGUCGUUGUAGGAGAAGAGAUGACCGACCGUGGCUCGGGUCGCAGAAAGCAGAUCUGAUCAGGAGAGUCGUUGUAGGAGAAGAGAUGACCGACCGUGGCUCGGGUCGCAGAAAGCAGAUCUGAUCAGGAGAGUCGUUGUAGCAGAAGAGAUGACCGACCGUGGCUCGGGUCGCAGAAAGCAGAUCUGAUCAGGAGAGUCGUUGUAGGAGAAGAGAUGACCGACCGUGGCUCAGGUCGCAGAAAGCAGAUCUGAUCAGGAGAGUCGUUGUAGGAGAAGAGAUGACCGACCGUGGCUCGGGUCGCAGAAAGCAGAUCUGAUCAGGAGAGUCGUUGUAGGAGAAGAGAUGACCGACCGUGGCUCGGGUCGCAGAAAGCAGAUCUGAUCAGGAGAGUCGUUGUAGGAGAAGAGAUGACCGACCGUGGCUCGGGUCGCAGAAAGCAGAUCUGAUCAGGAGAGUCGUUGUAGGAGAAGAGAUGACCGACCGUGGCUCGGGUCGCAGAAAGCAGAUCUGAUCAGGAGAGUCGUUGUAGGAGAAGAGAUGACCGACCGUGGCUCGGGUCGCAGAAAGCAGAUCUGAUCAGGAGAGUCGUUGUAGGAGAAGAGAUGACCGACCGUGGCUCGGGUCGCAGAAAGCAGAUCUGAUCAGGAGAGUCGUUGUAGGAGAAGAGAUGACCGACCGUGGCUCGGGACGCAGAAAGCAGAUCUGAUCAGGAGAGUCGUUGUAGGAGAAGAGAUGACCGACCGUGGCUCGGGUCGCAGAAAGCAGAUCUGAUCAGGAGAGUCGUUGUAGGAGAAGAGAUGACCGACCGUGGCUCGGGUCGCAGAAAGCAGAUCUGAUCAGGAGAGUCGUUGUAGGAGAAGAGAUGACCGACCGUGGCUCGGGUCGCAGAAAGCAGAUCUGAUCAGGAGAGUCGUUGUAGGAGAAGAGAUGACCGACCGUGGCUCGGGUCGCAGAAAGCAGAUCUGAUCAGGAGAGUCGUUGUAGGAGAAGAGAUGGAGGAAGAAGAAGAGGAGAUGGAAGUAGAACAGGCGAGGCAGGAAUGCGGCGUCGGUAGCGGUAAUGGAAGCGCAGGGAAGGCCGAUGGCGGGUGGGCAGGGCAGCGACGCUGUAAACGUUGCCACCGCCAUCGCUGCGGCAGACCUACCGCCCCUAAAACGCUUUGACGAGAGCAGGGACGAGAGUGACCCUAAACCAGGACCAUCGGGUGUAUAGAAGAGUCUGAUCUGGGAUCCACGUGUGGUGCGAACUGGGAGACGCUGCCGGAUAGGAUAAUGAUCCUCUUAUCGCGCUCGGUCGCAUCCGUUUCCUCUGGUGAUCGAAAUAACUUUCGCAUAGCCUGGGCUGACGAGAUGCCAUAUUCAUCAACGACUCCAACCGCGCUCCGGAUGCACGAAGGAGCAAAACUGCACCUCGACGUCACGGCAAAUUUUAUGCGGGUGGCACGCUUUCUACAUCUCAAAGAGAGACGUAUACAAUGAUGGUGCAUUGAUGCCAGUCAGCACGAUAUCCCAUUGUAUCUAACGUGUUAAAAUGCCAGGAACAGGCCCAUCACCUCCCCCGAGAGCCCGACUGCGUUCAGGCGAUAGGCCUCCGCUAUCACCAAGACUGAAACGCAUUUCUUUUAAGGCAAAGCACCAACUCCACCGCUAACACCAGAUCGACACAGAUAAUUCAGAUGAAGAACCGCCACAAUUUAAAACGAUACGGCGUCGUAAACGAAAGGCCCCAACAGAAGCAGGCAAAAACGGAAAAAAGGAAGAAAGGGGAAAAAGGUCAGAUUAACAGACACAACAGAGCACCAACCCGGGACGAAAGAGCCGCUACCCGAGGAAGAGAGAGAGAUGCAAGGAGAGGGACCACCGAGUGAAGGGGGACAGGAAAGGGAAGGGUGUACACCGGGAGAAGGGGAGCGGGGACACUCAAAAGAAAGCGAAACACCCCCGAGGGAAGGAGAGGACGAAAGAGAGAACCACCACCGGAGGAGGGGGAGGGCGGAAGCAGA